rnacentral:rRNA from 1 species
CGCUGGCGGCGUGCCUAACACAUGCAAGUCGAACGAGANAGUGGAGCAAUCCAUGAGUMCAGUGGCGAACGGGUGAGUAACACGUGACUAACCUGCCUUCGAGUGGGGGAUAACCUCGGGAAACCGGGGCUAAUACCGCGUAACAUCCUCAGGGUGCAAUUCCCAGGGGACCAAAGGGGUAAGACGCUUGAAGAGGGGGUCGCGGCUGAUUAGCUAGUUGGUGAGGUAAUGGCUCACCAAGGCGAAGAUCGGUAGCCGGCCUGAGAGGGCGCACGGCCACACUGGAACUGAAACACGGUCCAGACUCCUACGGGAGGCAGCAGUGGGGAAUUUUGCGCAAUGGGGGAAACCCUGACGCAGCAACGCCGCGUGGAGGAUGAAGCCCCUUGGGGCGUAAACUCCUUUCGAUCGGGACGAUUAUGACGGUACCGGAUGAAGAAGCACCGGCUAACUCUGUGCCAGCAGCCGCGGUAAUACAGAGGGUGCGAGCGUUGUUCGGAAUUAUUGGGCGUAAAGGGCGCGUAGGCGGUGCGGCAAGUCACCUGUGAAACCUCUGGGCUUAACCCAGAGCCUGCAGGCGAAACUGCCGUGCUGGAGUGUGGGAGAGGUGCGUGGAAUUCCCGGUGUAGC